UUUCGUCAAGGCAGAGAAAUGUGAGUUCCAUUCAUCAUCGGUAAACUUCCUGGGUCACAUCGAGAGGAGUAUCAUCCGAGCUGAUCCUAAGAAGGUCAAGGCAGUGGUGGAGUGGCCUCAACCAACCACUCAUAACGAAUUUAGGAGAUUCCUAGGCUUUGCGGGAUUCUACCGGCACUUCAUUCUCAACUUCAGCAAGGUAGCCGCGCCUCUCCACGCGCUUACAUCUACCAUUAAAGUUUUUGUUUGGAACAAGGAGGCGGACAGUGCAUUCCAGAGCCUCUAGAGGAGCUUCAGUUCCGCUCCAAUCUUGGUACGCCCUGACCCUGACAAACCGUUCACUGUGGAGGUGGACGCAUCUGAUUCCGACGCCUAUCCCCAGCCGAAAGGAACUACGAUGCAGAGAACCGAGAACUGUUGGCCGUCCACGAAGCGUUGGUCGAAUGGAGACACUGGCUGGAGGGGCCCAAAUAUCCGUUCCUGGUCCUGACCGACCACCGCAACCUCAUCCACAUCCGUUCCGCUAAAAGUCUUAAUGACAGGCAAGCACGCUGGACACAGUUUUUUCCCCGAUUUGACUACACUCUCACCUACAGACCCGGUUCACGCAAUGACAAGGCGGACGCUCUUUCGCGGAUCUUCUCCGAGGAACCCACCGUUAGAUCUACUACUGAGACCAUCCUUCCCCCAAACCGCAUCUUCGCGACAAGCGCACCGCGGGCCACGCCCACGGGCGUUCCCUCUCCGCUGGGAGCGCGCCUCCGCACGGCUGCAUGAUAUAUGCAAUCUACGCACCUGGCCGUGAAUGAGCGACCAGCCUUCAUAAACCAGCGCGUCUUGAGAUCCAAUGCCAAAAGCUUCCUGUCGCCCUUCCUUGUCGUCAAGCUGUGUGCCUCGUUUCCCUGGACCCCUUGUGGAUUUCCCCUUGCCUUCCUGGACUUCGACCUCACGCCUGCCCACUGACCACGACGCCUCGCUCCUGUCCUCGACCAUCCGCCUGCCUUCCGACUCUCAAGCCUGCCUUGCCCUUACUGGACUUCCGCCUCGAUCUCAACACGAACCCUCAACAUCCUCUGGUGGCCCUUGGCAAAGGCCUAGUACCUGACUGCCCCCUAGCCAGGGAUAUGGUGAAGACCUCAACGGCGGAGCAGGCGGAAGACGGUAGAUUUUAAGAACUACCACAAAGUCUGCGAUGGCGGAAGAAGGCUGCAGCAGAAAAGGGUCCCCAGUCGUCUUGGACUGCAUGCCACUGGACCCUGACCCGAUUCUGUCAAGGAUCGUGUGGUGACUGUCUGUGUACCAGUCUCCCCACGUUAAACUAAGUCACGCACAGGCAUCCUUACUUAAAGGGAUACACCCCUACCAGGAGGAUCCUCAUACUCGUUCCGAGUGACCGCCGAUGAUGACUAUACACCAGGUGUGAAUGAUUGAUGGGUUCUACAUGUAAAGCGACUUUGGGUACUUAGAAAAGCGCUAUAUAAAUCCCAGGUAUUAUUAUACUAAUACCGGUAUACCAUACAACACUAGAUGGCAUUGUGUUUAUAUGUAUGGGCGCACAUGUGUACAUUGUUUGUGUGUUAAUAAUUGUGAUACUUGAGACAUUUCAUAUUGCAAAUGUUUUUCUGUGCCCCAAAAAAUGUUCAUUUAGUAGCACCGGUGCUGCUAGUGAAAAAGCUAAGUGUACAGCCCUGUAAGCACUACGGUUGUGGUUGUGUGUUCCCAUUCGGAUUUGGACUGGAAUGUUCUUCCAAAAGUUACUAUCUGUGUUCAUCAGCACUGCCGUGACUGCUUGAGCUAUACAGUAUGUGGUCAUCUGGUUGUGUGCACUGCGUUUCACACCUGAGCGCAUCAUAGGUGACCCAGAAGAGCUCCACGUUGGACCAUCCUGGCUGUGGAGCCGUCCUGCUGCACAGCACACCUUGGACACCGUGGCUGCAGCUGCUCUUGUCCCGUCUCGGGUGUCUCCAGGGCCGGGCUGACCUCUAUCGCUGUCUCUCUCUGGUGGAGACGCUUCAAAGCGAGGUGGGACGGGCUGGAGGGGCAGCGCCGCUUCUGCUUCACUGAGCUGGGGGAGCCGAGGCUGGAGUUAAGGUAGGCGUGGUGGUAUUUGUGUGUGUGUGUGUGUUCUGGCAAUGCUUACUUAAUGGGGACAUCGCUCUGUUUACACCAGGGGUGUCAAACUCAAAUACAGAGUGGGCCAAAAUUUAAAACUGAACAAAGCCGCGGGCCAAGGUUGAACAAAUUAACCUUUUAAUAGGGACCCAAACAAGUUUUGCAUUGAAUAUUGAACAAGCAAGGCUUAUAUAACUUUAU